AACUCGUAACGCUUUCAUUAUAUAUUAUCAAGCCGUACUACAUUCAGCUUGGUUGGAAAUGCUUAAUGAUUAUCCCGUGAUGAAGGAAGAAUUGGAGUCUGCUAAAAAAGAAGGGAAGGAAGCUUUUCUUACAAAAUUAAGGUUUAAUGUGAAGUUACUGUUAAAACGUAUCCUUCAGUUCAACAAAUCCCAAUGGGUCAGAAAUAGACCAUUACUAUCUUGCAGACAUUGUCAGCAAGAGUACAAUAAUAGAGGAUUACUGCAACUACAUUUAAGGGAUAAACAUCAAUUGAAGGAUGAGUCUGCAGCGGCCAUCAUCGAAGCGGACUUUAGCCACCUUUUCGAAAUCGAUGAACUGUUCAAUUAUGGAAGAUUAGUCGUAUAUUUAGGCUUGCUUUUAAGCAACUUAGAGAAG